rnacentral:rRNA from 1 species
GACGAACGCUGGCGGCGUGCUUAACACAUGCAAGUCGAACGGCAACGCCCGAGCUUGCAGGGGUAGACGAGUGGCGAACGGGUGAGUAAUACGUCGGGGAACGGCCUCGCACUGCGGGAUAAGCGUGGGAAACUGGGUUUAUUACCGGUACGAACCGCGGAGGGAGGGGGUGGUGCAAAGGUCUUCGGGGUGGGAUGGUGGCGCGGCGUCUCAGCUUGUGGGGGGGGUAUUGGCGUCCCAAGGCGGCGAGCGGUAGCCGACCUGAGAGGGGAGACGGCCACAUUAGGACUGAGACACGGCCCAGACUCCAACGGGAGGCAGCGGUGGAGAGUAUUACACAGUAGGCGGGAGGCUGAUGCGACGACGCCGCGUGGGGGAUGACGGCCUGCCCGUAGUGAACUCCUUUCCCCUUCGACGAACGGUUUCUGACGGUAGAUGGAGAAGAAGCACCGGCUAACUACGUG